CCAUCUUCCUAGUCCAAGAAACUCAAAUUUUAUCUUGGAAGCUGUUUUGUUUUCAUUUUUGCUGCUGUGAUAAAAAUGCCCCUAGCAAAAAGCAACUUAAAAAAGAAAGGGUUUACUCUUUCGCUGGCGUCGGUUUGCUAUGCUGUGUUUAGUAUGUAAUCUCCGACACUAAAUGACUUUUGGGCCCUCAUUUGUGAGCCGCCAAGAUGCAGGAAACAUCGGGCCAUUGUGGUGCACUCAGCACCGCAGGAGCUUGGUGAGGGCUAACAAGCGGCCAAGGCCAUGGGAAGCUGAUCUUAGGCACCAUGCCGAGGAACUCCACUUUGCCAGAGUUUAACCUGAAUUCAUUGCUGGUCUCUGAUGAAGACAUGUUAAGGUAUUGUUUAAAGAAAAGUAAUAGAGCCUGAGAUCCUCUGGGCACCUUACAGGGAAUCCUCACACUUAACAUUUUGGAAAUGAGUAUUGAGUAUUAUGGAUAUUAUUAACACAGCACUUUUCAAUAUAGUCCUGACCUUUAUUUCUUAACCAAGUUUUUUCAGGAGCCGAUAAAGCUUGGUUGGUGAGUAAUAAAUUAAAAAAAAAAAAAAAAAGAAAAAAGAAAAAGAAAGAAAGAAAAAAGAAGAAAAAAGAAAGGGUUUAUUUGACUUACCAUUCUGGGUUCCAGUCCAUCAUUUUGAGGAAAUUAAGUAGUCAGGCAUUCAAGCAGCCUGUCCCAUCACAUCCAAAAUCAAGACCAAAGAGAAUAUAUACACCCUUGCUUGCUUAUGCUCAGCUAGCUUCCCUCGUUUACAAACAGCUCAGGACCCAGUCUAAGGAAUGGUGCCGCCCUCCUCCAGGGUGGGUCUUCCCCCUUAAUUAACAACCAAGGCAACCAGGGCUGGAGAGAGAGAGCUCAGCAGCCAAGGACAUUUGCUCUUGCAGAGCACCUGGGUUUGAUUCUCAGCACCUAUAUAGCUUCACCUCAACCUGUGUCAUGAUAGACUGAGUGCCGUGUGAUAUUUCUCAAAGACAGAAAGCUAGGAAGGAAGUCUGGGUAUGUGUGGCACAAGCCUUUAAUCCCGGCACUUGUGAAGCAGAGGCAGAUGGAUCAUUGUGAGUUCGAGGCCAGCCUGGUCUACACAGCAAAUCCAAGCCAGUCAGAGCUACACAGUGAGACCCUGUCUCAAAGUAAUUUAAUUUAAUGAAGCCAGGUAGGAGGCUAGGGAGUUAAGUGAAACGCCAGGGUUUCUCUGUGUCUUGGGACUGUCUUGGGGCUCAAUUUGCAGACCAAACUGGCCUGGAAUUUACAGAGAUCCGCCUGCCUCUGCCUCCCGGGUGCUGGGAUUAAACGUGUGUGCUACCAUGCCUGGCUGUAUUGCAGACUAUUUUUCUGGGAGAAUUUUUUUUUAAAAGACUACUCAUUCGUUCAGUAGCAGUAGAACCAGGCCAUAUCUCUGGAAGGGUUGUUUCUGAUAAUCUCUCUUCCUCAAGCAGACCUGGCCUCAGAUUCAGUGACCUUUUCCUGUAUGACAUUGCCCUGCUCUGCCCUGCCCUGCCCUGCCUUUUCUCUCAGCCUUCGAUGCUACCCUUCCUGAGAUCAACAGUCAGCUGACUGCCCAGGCCUAUGCACAGGGACACUGGAGACCAGCCGGACACCAGCUCCUCUGACCGGUUUGGAUCUAAUCUCCAAUCUCUCUUUAUUCAGUGACUGCAGCUUUGUGUUUCCUUCAAGGAACUACUGUUCCAUUCCAUGCCAAAAAUACUCUGCCUGAGUCAGUCAGGUAACUCAGCUGGGGGUGUGGGUCCUAAACAGGUUGAACUCUUUGCAAAAGCUUUUGUACACUUAGAAAAGUGCGUCCUCACCACGCCACACCCCCUCACCCCCACCAAGAAUAGGCAAAUAACUUACCAGGGCCUCCAAACUCCCAUAAGCUUGAAAAACUUAAUUUAGUUUGAGCCUUUAGUCCCAUCCUCCACAGUAACCUUGGGGUUAAUCAACUCGGGGUCUCCUCUGGGGCUAAAAAAUAGGUUUGCACGAAACAGGCUUUCAAUAGAGUCAACUGAAUCAUUAACAACACUUCCCCAAAAGAAAUUUCUAAAAGGAAGGAAGAGAGGAAGGAAGGAAGGAAGGAAGGAAGGAAGGAAGGAAGGAAGGAAGGAGGAAAGGAAGGAAGCUGCUACACUUGGGGUUAAAUGUAGCUCAGUUGGUAAAGUUCUACACACACACACACACACACACACACACACACACACACACACACACAGGAAUGACUCCAGAGCAAGAAGAUCAGUGCAGGGUCACACAGCCAGCUAGAGGUCAGCUUGGGUUACAGUAGGCCCUGUCUCAGAUACAACAAAUAACAACCAAAACAUGGCAUGUUGGCACAUGUCUCUAAUUCCAGCAUUCAUGAGGCAGAGGCUGGUGGAUUCUUGUAAAUUCGAAUCCAGCCUGGUUUAUAUACAGAGUUCCAGGCUAACCAGGGCUACAUAGUAAGACUCUGUCUCAAAAAAAAAAAAAAAAAAAAAAAAAAAAAAAAAAAAAAAAAAGGGGUGGGAGGAGGGUGAGAGGGGAAAAAAAGAAAGAAAAAGAAAAGAACACUUCCUUAUUCGUGCAAACUGAGAAUUGUACCAUUAACCAAACAGAACAAAAGUGAAAGUGAAAUUAUUACAUUUUUCUCUGAGACCACAAGGCCUGCACACAGCAAAUCUGGGGUCACGAUCAUGGAUCCGAGUCUUCUGCUGUGCUCCCGAAGUCUCUGACUCACUGCGAUCUUGGGUAAUAAUUCUCCCAGACUCCCUACACCUCAUUUCCUAUUUUUGCAACAUGGAAAAUAAGUUUGUCCUUUAUCUUCUGAGAGAGGAGGGUGUCGGGAAAAGAGAUGACACACAAAUGCCUUUGGAACGCUUUACCGGCUGUGGUUCCGAAGGCUUGCUCAGCUGCACUGGUUAUUUUGAUGCCCAGCCUCCUUCCAGGUCCAAAAUAUUCUCGAAUGUGCUCAAAUUUAGCACUGGUGAUAAGAGCAUGUUGUGCUGGAGUGCACUCCAGGGCCAUGCAGAGCAGUACUUCUUAACAAUGUGUAAUUCCCAUUCCCUUGGUAAGUAUUAAAAGCCUCACCCCUGGAGUUCGAGGCCAGCCUGGUCUAUAUAGCGAGUUUCAGGCCAGGCAGGGCUCCAUAGCAGGACCCUGUCUCAAAAACCAAAAAUACGGCCCCCCCCCAAAAAAAAGCCUCACCCCUUACCAGGUGGUGGCACACACCUCUAAUCCCUCCAUUUGGGAGACAGAGGCAGGUGGAUCUCUCUGAGUUCAAUGCCAGCCUGCUCUACAAAGCUAAUUCCAGUACAGCCAGGGUUAUGUAGUAAAACCCUGUCUUAGCAAGAAAACAAAACAAAACAAAACCCUCACCCCUGUUAUAAAUUUUGUAUUAUAAAAACAGGGGUUAAUGUUUUCCAUUUUCAAAGUAUAUGACUUUAUAACAUAUGCAUUUGUUUUUUAUUUAUCUAUUUCAUGUGCAUUCAUGUUUACCUGUAUGUAUGUCUGUGUGAGGGUGUUGGAUUCACAGGAACGUCAAUUACAGGCAGUUUUGAGCUGCCAUGUGAGCGCUGGGAAUUGAACCUGGGUCCUCUGGAAGAGCAGCCAGGGCUCUUAACCUCCAGCCCACAAAUACACUUUUUAUUUAUAACAAAUAAGUGGAGGCCUGCGAGAAGGUUGAGCAGAUAAAGCACCUGUAAUAUAAUUUGAAAUUAUGCUUGACUCUUUUCUGAUGACAGUUGUGGGUAUAGUUAAUAUUUCUAAGGUUUGUCACCUUUCAUGAAUAAAGUUUAUACUGCACUGCAGUUAGAGGUCAAAGAAAAUAUAACCUUUUCCCUCCGGAGUCCCCAGGAUCCCAAACAUUCAACCAAAGACAACAUCUACAGAAACCUGGAUAAGGGCAGCUGUUUAGAGGGACUGGGUCCAUUUAUCUUUAUGUUCGCAGCAAAGGGCUUAAUACAUCGCAGCUGUUCCUGGGUAUCUGCAUGGGGCUGGUUCCAGGACCCCCAAGGAAGCCAAGUCAAUGGGAGCUCAAAUCCCUUGUAUAAAGUGACUCAGUAUUUUACUGAAACCAGCACCCACCCUCCUGGGCACUUUAAGUCAUAUCUCAUUUAUUUAUAAAUCCUCAUACAAUGUAAAGAUCUCCACAGUUAUUCAAGUUAUUUGUGAUAAAGGUGAAGAGUCUAUAUAUGGUAAGUAUGUGAGUCUGACUAUAUUUUUAAACUUUGUUUGCCAAAUCUGUGUGUGAAACCUGCAGGUAAGAAAGACCUGAUAUUAUAACACUAAAUAUGAGCCCAGAACCAAAGGCAAAGACUUUUCUUCUUUGAGGAGCUCACACCAAAGCAGACCUUGGAAAGUGGCUCACUAAGGAUGGAAGGUCUGCAGACAUAUCUAUGUAGAAACACAUCCCUCCCUGGCCCUGUAAUAACAGUUAGUUCCCCAAAGUGUUAGCAUAAAAACUUAACCAGAAUCACACACACACCCUGAGGACAUUUAGAGGAGAGUCGUUCCCUCACAACUCCCUUGCCAUGUGCAAUGGGAUCUUGAAAAGGGCAGCGCAUGUCUCUAAAUACGUAAGAAAUGUAAAAAGUCAUCUUUUCAUAGUCUUUAGCUUCCCACUGCAGCAGUGACUAAUGCAAGAUGUUUCAGUCUCUCUUACUAUUACCAAAUACUUCCCUUCUUCUCCUUUUGUUGCUUCAGUUCUGGUCGAUAGAAUUUCCUAAGACUGUAAAAAUAAAGAAAUAAAUGAGAGCAAGUUGGAGUAACAGUGCAGCAUCUCUGGAGAACGGGCCUUGCUCUCUGUGACUUUCCCAGCUCCUUCCAGGGCACACCGGACACCAUCUAUACCUGAACCCGGCAGCUCUGCACACACCCAAACCCUUUUGCAUUCCACAGCAGCCAGAAUGAGGCAGCUCCUCCACCUUCCACUGUCUGCCUGACUUCAGAUUUGAAAUGGAUUGGUUCAUAACUUCCAGCAUCAUCCUCAAGAAUAAACGCCAGGAAAAAAUAUUUUACCUUAAAAGCGCUUCUCAGUACUACCCAGGAAAUUUAGGAGCCACGCUCACACACCACCGGCCAGUCAGACUCUCAAGAAUGUUGAGCAAGUUGUUGGCCCACCCCCAGCCCCAUCCUGUCUGAGGUUUAAACAUCUGCAACAUAAGAAAUGAGCUAUGCAGAAAUAAGCAGUUUUGGAAACUGUGUGUCAGAAAAUAGUGGCUCACUGCCUGUCUGAGGCAUUCCUGUAAAAUUCCUACAGAAGUACUGAGCAAAAUCCCCAGCUUGCUGGGACACAAGGGCCACAGCUUUGCAGGAAAGGAAGGGAGGGAAUAGGUGUCCCUGAGCCUUCCCGACGGGGAGCUUGACAGAACACUUUGCACACUUUAGAAAUGGGCAUUUUCUUCCACCUUCACUCUCCUGCAGCAGCUUUCUCACCUUCAAACUGCAAACAUGUUCACAUCAUGAUCAGCGUAGCAGCAACUCCCUUUAUACCACUUCCUGGAGUUACCAAACGGCCUGCCCUUUGUCUUUCUGUUCUAACUUCCUAAGACAGUGGUCCCCAGUCAGGGUCUUCCUGUCCUGCUCCAGAGAUGGGUGCUUUGGUCUUUUUUUAUUGGGAUUUAAUCCAGUACUAAGGAGGCAGAGGCAAAGAUAGAGGCAGGAGGAUCUCUGGGUUUAAGGGUAUACUAAUCUACAUGGUGAGUUCCAGGCCAGCCAGUCCUAUACAGUGAGACCCUGUCUCCAAUACAUAGAAGCCCCAGUUUGCUGGGACAGAAGGACCACAGUUCUGCAGGAAAGAACAGGAAUAGGUGUCCCUGCUGGGGCCUAGAGGCAUAGUCUAGUUGGCCGUCUAGCAUGCAUAAAGCCCUGAAUCCAAUCCCCAGUACCUGAUAAACCAGGUGUGGGUGCACGCCUGCAAUCCCAGUACAUGAAGGUGGACACAGGAGGUUCAGAAGUUCAAGGUCACCUUCUGCUACACAGUGAAUUCCAGGCCAUCUGGGGCUACAGGAGACUUUGUCUCAAAAGACACAUGGAUAGACAGACAGACAGACAAACAACAGCCAGCCCUGUGGCACACACUUUCAAUUCCAGCACUCAGACACAGAAGCAGGAAGAUCUCUGAAUUCAAGUUCAGUCUAGUAUACAGAGUGAGUUCCAGGCCAGGGCUACACAGAGAAACCCUGUCUUGAAGAGAGAGAGGAAAAAAAAAAAAAAGACAGAUGCAACAAGACACACCUGCCAUCUCAGCACUCCUAGGGUAAGAUGGCAGACUACACAGAAUUGUUCAGCUAGCCUGGGGUUUGCAGCAUGGCAGAAAGAAGAGGGACCCUGUCUCUAUACGAUGGAAAGAGAAAACUAGUUCCUGAAGUGGUCCUCUGACUUCCACAGCAUAGGCCAGAAGACUUCGCCUUGGAUCUGGAGCUACAGUUGUGGAUGCUCCGAGUCGAACCUGGUCGAACCUGGGUGCUCUAGAAGAGCAACCAGUACUUUUUAAGUGCUGAACCGUCUCCAGCCCCAGGAAGGGAUAAUGUUCACCAACCACCAACAACCAGAAAGGCGAUUUCUGCUCUAUUAGAAGUCUCUAAAACUAGCUUAAAAGUCGAAAUAAAUUAGUGCAUAGAUAUGCACCACCUCUUCUCCAGUCUUCUCAUUCAUAUUCUAAUAACACCGUGCCAGCUCUCUGCUCCCGCCGAGCUGCUCUGCGGGGCUUUUCCUGGGUGAAAGUGUCUGACCCUGAGAAGACUGUGACUCAGCACAUUGAAAUCGCAGCGCUCAGGUUCAAGGGGUG
rnacentral:lncRNA from 1 species